rnacentral:tRNA from 1 species
CGGAGCGUGGCGCAGUCUGGUAGCGCAUCUGCUUUGGGAGCAGAGGGCCGCAGGUUCGAAUCCUGCCGCUCCGACCA